rnacentral:lncRNA from 1 species
AUGCAGGAAGCUUCUAAGUGCAAGAUUGGGUCGUUGGGACAGCAGCAACAGCAUUGCUCACAUCUGAAAGCCCAAAUGUUGAGAGUAGUUAACACUUCACCACAAUCAGCUCUGACUAGAGAAAGAGAAAAACUAAGUACUUGGUGGCAGCAUCACAAUCCAGGAGCACCCCAGUCGGCACACAAUAGCGAAAGUAGAUCUUGCCCCACUGUUGGCUUUUCUUUGUUAAAACAGAAAAACCAGAUUGGCCUGCCCAGGAAGCCUACCCAUUAAUUAAUCAGUUACAGUGUCAGAAUGACUGAGACCUAAAAUCGUGUAUUAGGAACCAUGCC